UACGUAGGGUGCAAGCGUUGUCCGGAAUUAUUGGGCGUAAAGAGCUCGUAGGCGGUCUGUCGCGUCGGAUGUGAAAAUCAGGGCUCAACCCUGGACCUGCAUUCGAUACGGGCAGACUAGAGGUAGGCAGGGGAGAGCGGAACUCCUGGUGUAGCGGUGGAAUGCGCAGAUAUCAGGAAGAACACCGGUGGCGAAGGCGGCUCUCUGGGCCUUACCUGACGCUGAGGAGCGAAAGCGUGGGUAGCGAACAGG
rnacentral:rRNA from 1 species